GACUCGAGUGUUCAAAUCUCUUAUCGCAAACCGCGAAGCGUGGUACUCCGCGAAGCAGUCGUGCGUUUUCCUUCAACACAGCCCUGACGAACGUUAGUCGGUUCUCGUGUGUCGUCGACGCGAUGCCACCGGAUACACGGAGUAUCGAAUUCAAGCCCGGUCGCUCGGGAGUCGAUAAUCAGUCUGCGAAAGAACCUUGAGAUCGUUCGCGUUCGAUCGAGGAUCGAAAUCUAACCUGGUACAUCGCGACAUUCCUCGUCGUUGCUGUUUCACGCUUCUCCUAGCUCGUUGGACAUCCACGGUUCCGUCGUGUUUACUCUCCUUUCAGCGGAAUCCUGUUACGACGAUCAACCACGCACAGGAUUAGUGGCAGGGUGCGAAACACGUGCGCGGGCUUGCGGUCGAAUUCGAGAUUCGAGGGAUCGAAAGGCGCGCGCGAACGCCUUCCAGUUGUCCCGCGCACGUUAACGAGGAUGCGUCGAAGCGGCUCCUAGCUGUCCGAGCAGUUUGAACUGUUUGAUGUGUCGUCGUCGCGUUCGCGCGAGUCGUCGCGACGCCUGAGGACUCGACGCCGGGAUUAUUCUCCGCUUGGCGUGAUUGCUGGGCUGCGGAAAAAGGGAGGCAAGUGUUCGAGUUCGGGGCAGCGACACUUCGACGAAAAUGAACGGCGUCCAGCGAAUGCCCACCGACGCCUUCGACGUCAAGUUUUGUUUUCAGGUGCACCAGUUUGAAGAAAUCUUGCUCACCGCAAACCAACUGGCUACCCACGCCAUCGCCUGUUACGACGAAAUGAAUUAACCUUUUUUUAAAACAAAAAUUCUUUUAUAGUUCUUUAAGACACGCUUUGUAAUAUAUUUACGUUUCAUUAAUAAAAAUUAUUAUUUAAUACCAUAAAAAAAAACACACAAGAAACUAUCCGUAUCCAUUUUCCUGACUGCGAUUAACCCCUUAAGAGAUACUUGCGAAGACAUCACCUAGAAUACACAAGUAUCACAAAUCUAGGUACCUAGAUACCUGUAUUUCCAAGCUAGACCCGCGUUGAACGUCGUUGAAGCGAACUGGGGGUCUCAGGAGCAAUCGCCUCGCGCAAGGCCGACGUAAAAGCUCUAAUUCAAUUUAAUCUACCGCUACACCGUUAAGCGGUUAGCGGCGUGUGUCACAAUUGUUCAGCACUGGUUCGCGAUAUAGCGGUGAGUCACCCGAACCCGAAGGUUUCCCGUUCUACCGGUGAACGCUGGACCCUGCACCGUUGCUUGGAGUUCUGUCGAAACGCAGACCUUCGCGUAAAUCGGGCUUAUCGAAUCGCGUGACCCUCCGCGCGGCCGCCAUUACUCUUUGCUGCACGGUAGCCAGCUUGCGUCAACACCUAGGAAAUGUCCAUUUGCGAACAGUGGUUGACGUUGGUCGACGUUGGUUGACGUCCACUUGCUUCGACUUGCUCUAGAUAGUUCUGGAAAAUUCAGAGCAACCGUAAAAGCGGAGUUUCUGGUUACAGGUUUGCAAGCAUCGAGAGUAGAGACCAUCUUGUUCAAGCCCUGUUGGUCUUCGAUAG